UACGAGGGGGGCGAGCGUUGUUCGGAAUUAUUGGGCGUAAAGGGUGCGUAGGCGGUUCCGCAAGUCCUGUGUGAAAUCUUCGGGCUCAACUCGGAGUCUGCACGGGAAACUGCGGGGCUUGAGUGUGGGAGAGGUGAGUGGAAUUCCCGGUGCAGCGGUGAAAUGCGUAGAUAUCGGGAGGAACACCUGUGGCGAAAGCGGCUCACUGGACCAUAACUGACGCUGAUGCACGAAAGCUGGGGGAGCAAACAGG
rnacentral:rRNA from 1 species